rnacentral:pre_miRNA from 1 species
UGAGAACAGUAAUGUGCUAAAAAACAUGGUCACUUUUUCAUUGGAGUAGCACCAUAAUGGUUCUAUUCCAAAAAGUGACCAUGCUUUUUUUAGCACAUUACUGUUCUCAAGU